rnacentral:rRNA from 1 species
UACGGGGGGAGCAAGCGUUGUUCGGAAUUACUGGGCGUAAAGGGCGUGUAGGCGGCCUUGUAAGUCGGGGGUGAAAUCCACUGGCUCAACCAGUGACGUGCCUUCGAAACUGCUUGGCUUGAGUAUGGCAGAGGAGAGCGGAAUUCCAGGUGUAGCGGUGAAAUGCGUAGAUAUCUGGAAGAACACCGGUGGCGUAGGCGGCUCGCUGGGCCAUUGCUGACGCUGAGGCGCGAAAGCGUGGGGAGCAAACAGG